AGAACGAACGCUGGCGGCAGGCCUAACACAUGCAAGUCGAACGCCCGUAGCAAUACGGGAGUGGCAGACGGGUGAGUAACGCGUGGGAACGUACCCUUCGGUUCGGAAUAACCCGGGGAAACUCGGGCUAAUACCGGAUACGUCCGUAAGGAGAAAGAUUUAUCGCCGAAGGAUCGGCCCGCGUCGGAUUAGCUAGUUGGUGGGGUAAUGGCCCACCAAGGCGACGAUCCGUAGCUGGUCUGAGAGGAUGAUCAGCCACACUGGGACUGAGACACGGCCCAGACUCCUACGGGAGGCAGCAGUGGGGAAUCUUGCGCAAUGGGCGAAAGCCUGACGCAGCACGCCGCGUGGGGGAUGAAGGCUUCGGGUUGUAAACCCCGUUUCAGCAGGGACGAAGCGAAAGUGACGGUACCUGCAGAAGAAGCGCCGGCUAACUACGUGCCAGCAGCCGC
rnacentral:rRNA from 1 species